rnacentral:rRNA from 1 species
AGAGUUUGAUCCCUGGCUCAGAUUGAACGCUGGCGGCAUGCCUUACACAUGCAAGUCGAACGGUAACAGGUCUUCGGAUGCUGACGAGUGGCGAACGGGUGAGUAAUACAUCGGAACGUGCCCGAUCGUGGGGGAUAACGGAGCGAAAGCUUUGCUAAUACCGCAUACGAUCUACGGAUGAAAGCGGGGGAUCUUCGGACCUCGCGCGGACGGAGCGGCCGAUGGCAGAUUAGGUAGUUGGUGGGAUAAAAGCUUACCAAGCCGACGAUCUGUAGCUGGUCUGAGAGGAUGAUCAGCCACACUGGGACUGAGACACGGCCCAGACUCCUACGGGAGGCAGCAGUGGGGAAUUUUGGACAAUGGGCGCAAGCCUGAUCCAGCCAUGCCGCGUGCAGGAUGAAGGCCUUCGGGUUGUAAACUGCUUUUGUACGGAACGAAAAGGUGCCUUCUAAUAAA